UGGACGACGCUGGCGGCGUGGAUUAGGCAUGCAAGUCGAACGGUAUCAUCCUUUCGGGGGUGAGAGAGUGGCGAACUGGUGAGUAACACGUAGGUUAUCUACCCUCAAGACGGGGACAACCCAGGGAAACUUGGGCUAAUACCGGAUGUGAGCAACUUUUAGUUGUUUGAAAGGUGGCGUAAGCUGUCGCUUGGGGAUGAGCCUGCGUCCUAUUAGUUAGUUGGUGAGGUAACGGCUCACCUAGGCAAUGAUAGGUAGGCGGCCUUAACGGGUGGUCGCCCACACUGGGAUUGAGAUACGGCCCAGACUCCUACGGGAGGCAGCAGUCGAGAAUAGUCUACAAUGGUCGGAAGACUGAUAGUGCGACGCCGCGUGAACGAUGAAUCCCUUCGGGGUGUAAAGUUCUUUUAUAUGUGAGCAGUGCUUCUUAUAUUAACAGUAUGGGGAGAGAGAUAUUAGCAUAUGAAUAAGCAACGGCUAACUCCGUG
rnacentral:rRNA from 1 species